AACAAAACCAACAAUUAUCAUAUUAGAAACAUGUAUUUUUGAACUAUCUUUGUAUAUUAUGAUUCGGCUUCUACACCUCACGUGAUAGAAAGAGAACUAUGUCAUGGCCAAGCAAAAAAUGCAACAGGAUUCAACCAAACAAUUCAACAGUAAAGAAUGCAAACAAGUUUGGUGAAUCAAGUUGCGGUUGGUCAAUCUCUGCGGAUGAAGAUUAUAUAGUGUUAUGCUUAAAAGAGGAUGAAGCAUUUCAUGAUGUGAAAGAAGAUAACAAAGAUAUCAACAACUCAAGGCACGUGAACCGUAAGUUAAAAUAUGAAGUGGAAGAAGAACAAGUUAGAAAGGUGAAUAUAGAGGAGAAUAUAUCAAGUGUAAGUGAGGAAGAGAGUGAUGAAGAUUGUAUAACCCCUUGUAAAGAGGAAGAGGAAAAGGAAACAGUAUACUUAAGUAGACAUCGAUAUAAAGAUAGCAUAAGAAGGGAAAAUCAGGUUGAUGGAGAUGAACACGUUGAGAUGAUGUCUGCUGAAUCAAGUGGUUCUGACCAAUCUAAAAGCAGUGCAAGUUCUUUUGCUUUUCCCUCGUUAAAAUGGGAAUGGGCGGAAAGCCCUGUACGAAUGCCUAAGUCAGAAAGUCAGCACAUAAAGAAGCACAGACUCAGAUUUGUUCGAUUCCAGUGUUGUAGAUUCUGAUGAUUGCACUUUUUAAUUUUUCAUUCUAUUUUUUCUAUGGCCACCAAUGAAUUCUUUUAUUCAGAGUGGUAAGAUAAGAAAAACUGUCACCAUUUGUUGUGGAUGAGUUGGUCUGAUUUACCCAUUUUUUAACUGUUUCUAAUUUGUAGCCUCAGCAUCAAUGUUUAAUGGAUCCAUG
rnacentral:lncRNA from 1 species